rnacentral:tmRNA from 3 species
GGGGACGUAAGGCUUUCGACAGGAGUUUAUAAGUGCUGUUGUCACAAAUCGUUUUUUAGUUCGUAAAACUAAAACACAGAUAAGUGUAGAAAACAAACUAAACGCUUUUGCAAGUAAACUAAGGGCUGCUUUUAGCAUGCCUUCUUAUGCUUACAAUUUUGCAUAAGUUUGACUGAUUAAGUUUGGUCAAUGUCUAUAUCCUCUUUCCCUAGUUAGUGGUUAUAGACAGUCGUUACUAGGGUAUAGUAAGUAUUUCUUGUCAGUAGGGGAUAUUUAGUGAAUAUAAUUACUGAGUAAACUUAACUUUUUGUUAGAUUUUUUAGUUAGGUUUAGCUAUACAAAUCUAAAUAUAUUUGGAAAUGACACUGUACUUAGCUUUUGGACGUGGGUUCAACUCCCACCGUCUCCACCA